rnacentral:rRNA from 1 species
GAUGAACGCCGGCGGUGUGCCUAAUACAUGCAAGUCGAACGAGAAGAGAUGAGAAGCUUGCUUCUUAUUGAUUCGAGUGGCAAACGGGUGAGUAACGCGUAAGCAACCUGCCCUUCAGAUGGGGACAACAGCUGGAAACGGCUGCUAAUACCGAAUACGUUCUUUUGUCGCAUGGCAGAGGGAAGAAAGGGAGGCUCUUCGGAGCUUUCGCUGAAGGAGGGGCUUGCGUCUGAUUAGCUAGUUGGAGGGGUAACGGCCCACCAAGGCGACGAUCAGUAGCCGGUCUGAGAGGAUGAACGGCCACAUUGGGACUGAGACACGGCCCAG